GCGAGGCAAAGUCGAAACUGCUUCCAAGGCGAAGAACAACAAGACCAAACAGUAUCAGAAAUGGUAAGCUUGAAAAUGCACAGGUAUCUCAUUUUCUGUGAAACCUGCUGUUAACAGACUCGUAGGUUGGGACAUUAAUAACGUCUCCGUAUGAUGCCAUCGUUAAAGGAGAAGAUAUAACUUUCUGGGCAAUGUUAGUAAUAUCGUUCAAAGUGAUUGAGUCUACGGCCUUUAAGAAGUGCUCUACAGGUUUCCUUUCUCCAUAUGUCAAAAUCUGCCUCCCAAUAUCCUCAGACACGAUCAUCCUGGACUCUAGAUUCAUCAAAACUGCAGAUUUUGUUGAUUCUUUGGCACGGUUAAGCUGCACCUGGGAAACUUGUCCAGGAGUUGCAAUUGAGAUUAGUUCUGAUGCAGCAAUAUCAACUGCUUGGGCCACAAAGUCAGAACCAGUGCUAGCAUAAAUUCCAAACAGUCCCGUGUUAUUGAAGAUGCUGUUAAAUGCAGAAAAAGAUUGAAUCUGCUGGUACUCAUUCAAAACACGGAGAUAUAACCUCGAGUGCAUGCCUUUACCAGGGCCCCCAGCAGA
rnacentral:misc_RNA from 1 species